rnacentral:lncRNA from 1 species
UGGCAGGCAGGGGCCAGAUUAUAUACACUGCCUUGAAGAUUAUGGUCUUUAUCCUCAGUGCAACAAAAUAAAGUCAUUGAAGAGUUUUAAGUAGAGGACUGACAUGAUGACAUAUGGAGGGGCAGCCUCUAGAAGCAGAGAGUGGCCCCUGGCUGACUGCUGGCAAGGGUACCUCAAUCCUAGAGCUAUUAUCAAUUAUCUAUAAAGAGUUUUGUUUUUUAGUUAGGUUCAGCUUUCUGAAGAAUUUGAGAAUCCAUCAUUGCACUGGAAAAUGGAACAAAAAGUCUACUUCAAAGGACCUUGCCCACAAAAGACACCAGAAUGCAUGAAAAUGCACCUCACAGACAGAGCAACCAGCUGCUGUGCUUUGAAGUCAGCCACACCUCCCAUUCAUUGCUGUUACCAAUGGACUGACUGAAUGCUGUGGCGAUACUGAGGCCGUCUUGGUCCUGGAAGACAGGUGGGGCUCCUUUGUCCACCGCUUAGGCUGGAGUACUUCCCCAUGGCUUUGACAAACAAUCCUUAGACUGCAGAGUAGUGUAGGAUUCUUCCAUUCAACCUUCUCUCCCUCAUCCUGGGGUCAGACUUCUAUGCAGUCCGACAGCUGUCCCAGCCUUUCCUAGCUCCUUCUUUAUUUCUUUUUACACAGGCAUUUCC